rnacentral:rRNA from 1 species
UACAGAGGUCCCAAGCGUUGUUCGGAUUCACUGGGCGUAAAGGGUGCGUAGGCGGUCAGGCAAGUCGGAUGUGAAAUCUCCGAGCUCAACUCGGAAACUGCAUUGGAAACUACCUGGCUCGAGGGUUGGAGGGGGGACUGGAAUGCUUGGUGUAGCAGUGAAAUGCGUAGAUAUCAAGCGGAACACCAGUGGCGAAGGCGAGUCCCUGGACAACUCCUGACACUGAUGCACGAAAGCUAGGGGAGCAAACAGG